GGUGCUGACUGAUGUGGUAAGAACAUGAUUCGGAGCGGAUGUUCGGAGGUUUUGCCGGAGAAGGAAGAGUACGGGCCAGCCUUGUGGAAGUGGAGAGGAGAGAAAGAACUAUAAAGAGCCCGCAGAAGGAGACAGAGCUGAGGAGGCUGAAGAAGGCUUAGGAAACCCUGGCUGAGGAUAAUCCCGCUCUUAAACAGUGUGUCAGAGACUUCACGCACCUUACUCUCUUUUGUUUCCGUCUUGUGAUUCUGUUAGGAUGAAUGAUAAGUGGACGAGCCUUUGCUGCUGCCCUUUAGAAAUGAUAAAUUAAACCACCUCCCUUUGAAGUACAGCGCUCACUAACAAUACCUGCGGCUGAAAUAUGGACAAGCCCACCCAAACAAAGAGGACAAUAUGAGAACCAGAAAAUCACUCCCGGACCUGUUCCUCAACGAGAAGGGUUUUGCUGGACAGUGACGGGACAGGAGAACAAGAACAGGGAGCGUGUUUAGUGACGAAAACGUCUGCCUGCUGUCUGACUUCCAUGACUGGGAUGUGCAGAGUAACCCUGAAAGCUGACAGGUCUUUCGGAAUUCUGACUCACGUGAAACGAUAGCCUUAACCACAUCCCUGUGUUGUUUAUGUGCUUACUUGUCUCUUCAUUAUAAUGUAAGCAUCCUGAAGGCAGGGGCUAUGUCUGUUUUGUUUGCUACAGUAUUCCAACAACCG